rnacentral:rRNA from 1 species
GAUGAACGCUAGCGGCAGGCCUAACACAUGCAAGUCGGGGGGUAGAGGUUGCUUGCAACCUUGAGACCGGCGCACGGGUGCGUAACGCGUAUGCAAUCUGCCUUGUACUGAGGGAUAGCCCAGAGAAAUUUGGAUUAAUACCUCAUAGUAUCUUUUCCCGGCAUCGGGAGAUUAUUAAAGUUCCAACGGUACAAGAUGAGCAUGCGUCCCAUUAGCUAGUUGGUAUGGUAACGGCAUACCAAGGCAAUGAUGGGUAGGGGUCCUGAGAGGGAGAUCCCCCAGACUGGUACUGAGACGCGGACCAGACUCCUACGGGAGGCAGCAGUGAGGAAUAUUGGUCAAUGGGCGCAAGCCUGAACCAGCCAUGCCGCGUGCAGGAUGAAGCAUCUAUGGUGUGUAAACUGCUUUUAUACGGGAAGAAACACCGGUUCGUGAACCGGCUUGACGGUACCGUAAGAAUAAGGAUCGGCUAACUCCGUGCCAGCCGCCGCCGUAA